UUUAUUAUACUUUGUAUCAGGGUUUAUUCAUUUUGACCAUUAUUGUCAAAUCCCGAAAUAAGGUGAUUUAUGUUAAUAAAGAUGAUUGUUUCAUAACUUUCUUUAAGAUUAACAUCGGUGUAAAAAAUAUUUCGUACCUAUAUAUCUGGUUGGCAGAAGACUCCUUUAGGGUACUCCGGAAGGAAAAUUUUCUAGGGGACGAGCUCUAGAAAAAAUUAUAUCAAAUUACUAUCAGCGAUAUGAAUAGGCUUAAAAGUUGCCAGGGUGUAAUAACCAGGCUCGUUUAAAUAAUAAUUUAAAGUUGAUUAAUUGAAUCUAGCCGAUGCUUAUUACUAACAUUGAGCAGCCAUAAUGAUAAAAUUAGUAUAUAUAAAAUGUAAUAGAAUCUAUUCCAAAAAUUUUGGAAGGAAUUCGGCAAAACUUGCCUCCGCCUGUUUAACAAAAACAUCGCCUCCCAAUUUUAGGAGGUCGGGCCUGCCCACUGAUUAAUUAAAGGGCCGUGGUAUACUGACCAUGCGAAGGAGCAUAAUCAUUAGCCUUUUGAUUUGAGGCUGGAAUGAAUGGUCUGACGAGAGGCAACCUGUCUCCUUAAUUAACUUGAAUUUAAUCUUUAAGUGAAAAAGCUUAAAUAGCCUUGGAGGACGAUAAGACCCUAUAGAUCUUUACAUCCGGCUUUUUCAUCUAACGGUGGGUAAUCGGGUGGAAGAGGAGGAUGUUUGGUUGGGGCGACGUCGAGAGAAGAAUAAACACUCGAGAAUUACAUACAUCAAUAAAUGAUCAUUGAUCCUUAGAUGAAAAUAGAGUAAGUUACCUUAGGGAUAACAGCGUAAUUCUUUUUGAGAGCUCAAAUCGACAAAAGAGUUUGCGACCUCGAU
rnacentral:rRNA from 1 species